AAUGAUCAAGCUUAAUUUGAGGAUCAAAGCAUCAUUAUGAGAAACUCCAUGACAUCAUUCAUGAUAAAAAAGGGUGAAAGCUCAUCAAAUUAAUUUCUUUAAAAAGUGUUAUUGGCACACAAGGGAAAAAUGAAUGAGAAAUAUAGGACAUGUAGUCAAACUGAAUCAGGACUACAGGGAAUGAGAAUAAACUCUUCAACUGAUAAUGAAAAGAAAGACAUUGUGAGCAGCUGAGGUGUUUGUGCUCUCAGUGUGUUGAAGUGUUGUUUCUCUCUCUCUGCUGGAGUUUGUGUUCACUCGAGUGGAAUAGAGGUUUUUGUACGAGUGUUUCAUUAGAUUGUAUCACUGUGGUACACAUUCGGUGGAGGAACUAAACUUGUGCUCGCUGGUCCCACAGUGAAGCCCUCAGUGUCUCUGCUGCCGCCCUCUUCUCUGCAGAUCUCUGGAGACUCAGCCGCACUGCUCUGUCUGCUCAGCUCUUACUCUCCACAGGGGGCGCUGGUGAGCUGGACACUGGACGGCUCAGAGGUCACCGAGGGGGUUGUGACCAGUGCAGAGAGCGAGCAGGACGGCCGCUACAGCCGCAGUAGUGUCCUGACCCUCGGCAAAGCACGCUGGGAAGAGGGAGAGCUGUACGUCUGCAGAGUAACACAUGAUGGAGCUCCUCAUGAGGCCUCGUUCCACAAGAGUCGCUGUUAGUCGCUCGCAGUGCUGAUGUUUCUCCAGUGAGUGCUGCUCUCUCCUGAAGAUGAGUGUAUCUGAGUGUCCUGUGUCAGGCAGCUGUAGCUGUAGUCAUUUACAACUCAAUACUGAAAGAGAGCUCUAGUGUCAAAGCACUGGCUGAUCUUUCAAUCUGCUGUGUUUGCUGCAACAUUCAAUAAAGCUUCUCAACAAAC